rnacentral:rRNA from 1 species
GACGAGGGGUCCAAGCGUUGUUCGGAAUCAUUGGGCGUAAAGCGGGUGUAGGCGGCUCUAUAAGUCAGAAGUGAAAGCCCCGAGCUUAACUUGGGAAGUGCUUUUGAUACUGCAGAGCUUGAAUGUGGGAGAGGUUAGUGGAAUUCCUGGUGUAGUGGUGAAAUACGUAGAUAUCAGGAGGAACACCGGUGGCGAAGGCGGCUAACUGGCCCAACAUUGACGCUGAGAUCCGAAAGCAUGGGGAUCAAACAGG